rnacentral:misc_RNA from 1 species
ACAAUACAACAUGGAUGGUUUCCAUUGCUUCCAAUUCUUCUUUGAUUUACCAUCAAACCCUUGAAGAGCUGAACGCAUCGAAAGCCGAGCAGCGCCUUCCGACCGUCAUAUUCCUGAUUAUCAUAAUAAUCAUUGGAGUGAUUGGUAACACAGUGGUCAUCGUCGUCUACUCCUCCAAGUACCCUCCCUCCACCUUCCGGUUGUACAUCCUGACUCUGGCAGUGAUUGAUCUACUUUCGUGCCUCAUACCUAUGCCUCUCGAAGUUGUUGACAACAUAUAUCCUUUAAUGUUUUAUAACGAAGGAUUCUGCAAGAGUGGCCGAUUUAUCGGAAGUGUAUUGAAAAUAGGGGUCUGCAUUUGUUCUUGUUGUCAUGGCUUUUGGAAGAUAUAAAAAGAUAUGUCACCCUUUUUCUAAGGCUACCACUUCUAUUCAUGCUCGCCUGUGUUGUGCAGCCGCAAUUCUACUCGCCAUUGCCUUUUCCUGGCCAAAUGCAAUCAUUCAAGGAAUUCAGCUAGUGAAUUUUCCAGGAAAUAUAACUGGGUUCGACUGUUCCAUUGACGACCGUAUGAGAAACACUAAAUACCCUUUCAUUUACUUUACCGUUCUAUUUGUUCUGAUUUUUGCUGUAUUCGUAGUGUUAGGUGCACUGUAUUCUGUGGCAAUCUUCGCCCUGCGAACGCAUUCCAAAAAGAAAUCAUGGCUGCAAACGAACAACAAACACAACAAAGUGAACAAAAGAAUCACAAAAAUUAUGAUUGCAAUCACUGUGGCUUUUAUUUUGUGCUAUUUUCCCAAUUUUCUUUUAGAUGCCAUAUCUACUUUUAAAAGAAGUGUAAUUUUCAAACCAAGCCCUCUCGUUUUGGGAAUUCUUCCCCUGUUAGCCAGAGCCUAUUUUAUAAACAAUAUCAUAAAUCCUUUCAUAUAUUUAGCUGGAGAAACAAAGUUUCGCAAAAUAGUACAGCAGAGUCUAAGAUCUACAUGAAUAUGACUUUCAUUUUUUUUGCAUUGUCGGAAAAUGCCAGAAGAAAAACCUCCAUCAUUCCGGAUUCCAUUCGCUUGACAGACGUAAAACCACCGUCUGUAUAAUUCCAGAUAUCUUUACUACCAAUGAAAUAAAUGUUUUACAUAUUUUUUUACUUCGAUAUUUGUUUAUACUUUUUGAAGAGAUAUUGAAAUAAUAUUUAGAAAUUAAUUCGAUUUCAUCAUCAGCUUUAACUCAUUUUUUUCUGAGCAUAAUUUGUUUGUGUUACAAUUUUUUAUGAUAUGUUCUUAAAUCUUAGAUUUUACAUCAUAAGCAAGAUUUACUUUAUACUCAAAAUUACCAUUAAAGCUGCCAAUAGGACGCCUGAAAACUAAGAUUUGUUAUAGAAGACAGAGAACUUUGUGAAGUAGGAUGUGUUCAAUAAUCUUUAAUGAUAAGUAUCUUUUCACAAUAUCUAAUUAAGACAGGAGAAAUAUAUUCUAAAAUACUUUGAAAUUUGAAAUAUAAAAAUAAUCACAUUUGUGAAGUAGAGUUACCUUUCUUGGAAUGACAGAUGUAAGAAUGUUAUGACAUGAUGAAUUACAUAUGUAAAUUACAAAAAUUAUUUCUCAUAAAGAUGACAGCCCCACACCAUCUGGUGUAAAUAUAAAUCCAUCUAUUGGAUACUGACGCUACAAACCACUUUUGAAUAACAAAUUGAACUAUUUUUCCCCUCCUCGGUGCAUUUUUGAUCUACCUUAUAUAUACAGUCUUGAAUGUAUGUAAAUAUGUAUGUAUAAAUAUUUAAAGUGCAUUUUGUAUUCUAUUUUAAACUCGUUUAUUGAUGAACUGUGUUGUUGCGAUAUGAAUGCUUAUCACGAUAUUCAUAAAUUGUGAUAC